ensembl:lncRNA
CCACUAAUUCUUGCCUGGAGAAUCCCCAUGGACAGAGGAGCCUGGUGGGCGACAGUCCAUGGGGUCGCAGAAUCGGACACGACUGUGAUGGCUUAGCAGACACACAAGGCCAGAGGCGAGGAGAACUCCACUUUCACUGCAUAGAUAUUUUGGGGUGUCUGCCCUGAGGUACUGGUGUCUCCUCAGACCUGGGCCCCGGCUGGGUCCCCAAGUCCUUGGAGUGUCCCAGCUGUCCCGCACCCCCGCAUUGGCAGACCGGCUCUGAUAACCACUUGCUGGCUGUAUCUUGACAGCGACCUGAAGAGAUAACCUGCUUCCUCCCAUUUUAUCAUCAGUGACAGCAAGCAGGCAAGAUUUCAGCAGACGUGGGAGUUGAAGAGUUUUCUCCCAUGGCUGGGACUCCAGGGGCACAGAUGAAAGCAGCAGAGACGGCUCGCUGCCCAACUCUGUGACGGGCAUGCACAUCUUCCUCAUGGCCACAUGGUGGUGCCCACGGACGCAAUUCCCUAGAGGG